rnacentral:tRNA from 1 species
GGAGGUGUAGCUCAGAGGUAGAAUGUGUGCUUAACAUGCACAAGGGCCUGGGUUCAAACCCUAGCACACCCA